UUCGCCAUUUUUCUGUGGCAUCUUAGGUGAUAUCUUUCUUAUUGUCCUUCUGUUAUUUUACAAAUUUUGCUAGGAAGGAAUGGAUCCCAUGAUCCCUCACUGUUGGUUAUACUGGGGACUCUCAUGUGGAGAUCCAGGCAUUUCCUAUUACUGUUUUCUGACACUGCCAAAGUAGCUAGGUGCUAUAACGACUGUUGGAGCGAAGAGCAGGAUCGAAGUUUUAUUUGAUUUGUCAUAUAAGUGGGAAGCUGUGUCAGCUCAACAAACGAAAGCGAAAUUUGAUUUUAAACAUGUUCACUUGUGCAGAGGCCAAUUGUAUGGAAAGAUUACGAUAAAUCCUUUCAGUGCCAGCUUUAAACUGAAGUGAAAAGCUGAAUAUCUCUCACAGCAAGUAUGCAAUUCCACACUGCAAAGAACAUCUGUGUCAGAUUCUCCUUAUGUAGCAAUAGGAAAUACGUACUUUUGGGCACUGCUACUUUCAGUAAGCCACAGAAUCCCACUGCAACCAUUGGGAGUUGUAAUAAUGAUUUUUAAAAAACAAAAUAACUUUCUCAAGCAAUUUUCUUAUGGGAAAUAAAUCUACUGGAAAUGAC